rnacentral:rRNA from 1 species
CCUACGGGUGGCAGCAGUAGGGAAUAUUCCGCAAUGGGCGAAAGCCUGACGCAGCAACGCCGCGUGAGUGAUGAAGGUCUUCGGAUCGUAAACCUCUGUUAGCAGGGAAGAACGGUCGCUUUACUAAUCAUCCGUGCAUUGACGGUACCUGCACAGGAAGCACCGGCUAACUCCGUGCCAGCAGCCGCGGUAAUACGUAGGGGGCAAGCGUUAAUCGGAAUUACUGGGCGUAAAGCGCUCGUAGGCGGUAUGUCAAGUCAAGGGUGAAAUCCCCGGGCUCAACGGGGGAACUGCCUUUGAAACUGGAAAACUGGAGUGCGGGAGAGGAGAGUGGAAUUCCAGGUGUAGGAGUGAAAUCCGUAGAGAUCUGGAGGAACACCAGUGGCGAAGGCGACUAUCUGGAACGUAACUGACGCUGAGGAGCGAAAGCGUGGGUAGCAAACAGGAUUAGAUACCCGAGUAGUC